rnacentral:miRNA from 1 species
UGGUGGGUGGGGAGGAGAAGUGC